AAUCAACGCUGGCGGCGUGCCUCAGACAUGCAAGUCGAACGAUUAAAGCUCUCUUCGGAGAGUGCAUAAAGUGGCGCACGGGUGAGUAACACGUAAGUAAUCUACCUUCGAGUGGGAUAACGUCCGGAACGGACGCUAAUACCGCAUAACGCAGCGGCAUCGCAAGAUGACAGUUGUUAAAGAUUUAUCGCUUGAAGAGGAGCUUGCGGCAGAUUAGCUUGUUGGUAAGGUAACGGCUUACCAAGGCUACGAUCUGUAACCGGUCUAAGAGGACGGUCGGUCACACUGACACUGAAUAACGGGUCAGACUCCUACGGGAGGCAGCAGUC
rnacentral:rRNA from 1 species